UUUAUUUUCAGCUUUUUCAAGAAUUAAAGUGACUCUAAAGAUGUUCUGUAGGUCACUUUCCCAUCACUGGGACAAAAUACCUGACACCCAUAACUUAAAGGGAAAAGGUUUAUUUUUGCUCACAUUUUUAGAGGGCUCAGUCCAUCAUUAGCUGGCUCCAAAGCAGAAGCAGCAUGGUGGAAUAAAGUUUUGCGACCCAUGGCAGCCAGGAAGCAGAAAGAGAAGGAAGAAACUAGGGACAAGAAUAUACCCCUCCAGGUCACACCCCAGUGACCUGCCCCCUCCAAGGCACUGCCUCCUAGCAGCACACAUUCAGCUAUGAACUCAACAGUGGAUUAACCCACUGGUGAGUAUAAUGCCUCCAUGAUCCAAUCACCUUCUAGACCCUCCACCUCUGAACAUGUGAGACUUUUGGGAGCCAUCCUAGAUCUAAACCAUAACAGAUGCACUCCUCUUUCUCUAUACUUAAAAUUAAUUUAUAUAAUUAUAAUACACUGUUAGAGUCUAUUAUUGUGGCGCUCAUAGUAUAUAAGUGAUCAAAAAUACGGUAAAUAUUUCAUUGAAAAAUUUAUUAUGGUAAAAGACAUAUGGCCAUUAAUUCCCCAGAAUAUCCCCCCUCCCUUUAAACACAUCCCAUCAUUCUUGCCACUUUUUGAAGCAGUUCUAGAAGUCUUUCCUGUCUUUUGAAUGCUCUGCUGAGUGCCAUCCAAUGGAAAAGCAGGGCCAAAAAAAAUUCCCUUGUGUUUUUUUUUUUUUUGGUACCUGGAAUUGGACUCGGAUCCUUGCUCUUGCCAGGCAGACAGUGGAACCACUGAGCUAAAUCCCCGGCCCUCCUUUGUGUUUUCAUCCACUUUAUUCACUGAAUCUGGCACCAUGUGAUUUCUGGCUUUUCUCCAAAGUCAAAAGUGACCAUGGAAGCUAAAGGUUUUUGAACUGACUCAGCACAUCAAGACAGCAUGAUUAAACAGCAUGAUUAAAGAAGACUUCCAGAACUGCUUGGGGAAGUGUCAGAAACAAAGGGCACUACUUGCAGAGAAGACUGAUAAUUCAGCUACAUCUACAGAAGAAGAGAAAAUAUCCCAUAGUAAGAAGAUUGGUCUCCCCUCUUCUGCUUUUUCAGGGACUUGAGUUUUCAGAGAAACUACAUUGAAGCAAACCCUCUGAGUGAAUGCCUGGCAAACUUCACUGUAACUCCAAACAUGGGUCUGCUUGAGCUGUUUUUCCAGCUUGGGGAUUUGCUUAGCUUUGGAUCAAAUCCAGAAGACACAUAUGAGGCUAAAGUCAUGGCCGUGCUCCUACUUAACUCAGAAUCCUCAAGUAUAUUUCUAGUUUUAAUGAAAAACGGAGUCUUGGAUCAGACAUGGAUUCAAUCAGCCUCGCAAGAACUAUAAAAUGGUCUGGCCAAACAGGGUCCCCAAGAUACGGUAUUCUUAUCUGUACCCACAAUUGUGAUGCUGAGUUGGAAUUAAAGCAGGUUUUGAGA